GAUGAACGCUGGCGGCGUGCCUAAUACAUGCAAGUCGAGCGAAGCGGGGACGGGUGAGUAACACGUGGGUAACCUCCUAUAAGACUGGGUUAACUUCGGGAAACCGGAGCUAAACGGGCUAUUUAUAGAUGGAUCUGCGGUGGAUUAGCUAGUUGGUAAGGUAAUGGCUUACCAAGGCCACGAUGCAUAGCCGACCUGAGAGGGUGAUCGGCCACACUGGAACUGAGACACGGUCCAGACUCCUACGGGAGGCAGCAGUAGGGAAUCUUCCGCAAUGGGCGAAAGCCUGACGGAGCAACGCCGCGUGAGUGAAGAAGGUCUUCGGAUCGUAAAACUCUGUUAUUAGGGAAGCGUUACCUAAUCAGAAAGCCACGGCUAACUACGUGCCAGCCGCCGCGGUAAUAC
rnacentral:rRNA from 1 species